UGUUAUCUACUGAUGCUGUGAAAAUAAGUAUAUAAAAAAGUAUUUUAAUAAGGACAUAUUUUGGUAUUAAAAAAAAGAAAGACAGAUUUAAGAUUUGUUGUUAUAAUGCAUGUGUUAUUGUACAAACAGUCCAGACUCGUACGGAAGAGAUCACUUACACUGAUCCAGUGUUCUACAAGAGAAACGCACAAAGAGCGAUUGUUAAAAAGGAGGAUAAUGCAGUGUAUGCUAGUGUUGUCCACAAACGUUAACUGAAUUCUCUGUGAUGGUGUUUCCUCAUUAAUGAUGUUCUGAUCACAGGCAGUGAGUUUAUAUGCACACUGGAAUGCAGAUUAUUGCACAAAAAAAAAAACCUUUUUAAAGCACGGAAACUGUUUAUUUGUGCUAAAAUCUAUUAGCAGCGACUUUAAAGUGUGCAUUGUUCAUGUAAUUUAGACUUUUUUCUGUGCAACUUUUUAAAUGAUCUUCUUAUUGUGAUCCUGUAUGUUCACUUGUGUUUCAAUUAUACUAGACAACCCAAAAACUCUUCUACAUCUAACAGACAUUUAUUAUACAGUACGUGCACUUAUAUUGUACAGAAAACCGCCACUGAUUUUAAACAGCCAGUUCAUAUUCUGUUAAGUUCUCUCAAUGCAUUCAUAUCAAAAUCAAGCAGAAAGCUUUGGCAAUCAAUUCUGCAGAAUGACAGUAGCCAUUUAAUUUUGAUAUUAGCAGUGAACCGAUUAUAUUAUAGUCUUUUUACAGAAUUAGAAUCUUUUCACACAAUCUUCUUUUUGUUUUUUGGCAGACAGCAUGUGCAUGAAAAUGUGUCUAUUCUAAACUAUGUAAAUGUAUACCAGGCGUCUGUGUUUAAUGUAUGUUAGAGUGCACAUGUCUUGAGGUGUCAGUAGUGUGUGUUUCGGCGAAUAGCAUGUGCAUCCACAAUUUGCAUUCCUCUUUAUGCUAAAAUGUUUUACUGCAAAAUAAAGUACAUAUAUGCUGAUGUUUGACAAAAAAAUUCAUAACUACUGGUUGAAUGUGAAAAAAAAUCUCAUAUAUUAUGUGUAUGUGAAAUAUAAGAUAUAUGCAUGUGUCUAUAGUUGAUUUCUAUCAGUUAAUUUGCAUACUAAAGCAGUGAUCCUGCAGAUAAGACGUGUUAGUUUCAGCAGAAAUUAUUUCCAGCUCUAGAAGUCGUUUCUGAGAAGUUUCCACUAUUCUUGAUAUCACACUUAUCUGUUUUGUGAAGAAUGUGCCAUGAUCGUCUGUCACCAUCGAGGACAAAGAAAGUCAUUUCUUUUAAGAAUAAAUGCAUUACAGUUCAAAUUAAAAGCAUCAUUUGAUAUAAA